GAGGGACCGACAUGGGAAACACUGGGGCCCUGAAGACAAUCUGCAUUUCCCUGUCCUAUGGGUAGAAGGAGCUGCUUUCCAUUGUCUGUGUGGCUGAAAUAGGUGACAUUUUUAAAACCAGGAGAUUGGGACAGUCAUUGUCUUUCCAGCUAUGUCCAGGAAGGGUAGAGAUCCUGUCUUGUCACCCACAUUAUGGACACUGUGAACUGAACUGAAUAAGGGAAAAUACUCCCCUUCCUUCCACCCCUUUCAAGUCCUGGAGCCCUGAAAAAUGGAGUUGGGCUUUUAGUUCGGUCUGUUUGUCCUUUUCAGCUGCCAGCAAUGGUAUUUCCACCUGACCUAGGGUCAGAUCACAUUGACCUUGGAGAUCUGAUGUUGUAAUGAAAUAAGUCACUGCAUGGGACUGAACAUUUAACAGAGGAGAAGUUUACUUUGCCCUAACACAGGAUGUAUAUACAUCAAGGAUACAGGGGAAUUAAGAUUCUCUGGACAAGGAACCCCUCCUCAUCUCCAUUCAGAACUCACUUCAUCAGUCAGUCAUUAGGGUGGACGCUCUAUAGAGUAGAGCAUCCACCCUCUAGCACUCUCCAAGUCUGAGAGAUGGUGACUACAUGUGGCUGAGUUAGGUGUAUUCUCCAGACUAGUUGCAUUAGGGAAUCUGGGUCCAAAGAGAUUUCAAGAGUGGAGAAAACUGUUUUAGGGAAGUCAGGGAAAUUUUGUCAAGAAAUCCUUGGUCCUAUCACCAACAUACCAUUGGAUCCUUAGCUAAUACACAAGUUCCUAUAUAGGUAUUCCAAGACUCAUAAUGUGAUUCUUUAGUAUGGACUUCUCUUCCAGCUCCCAGAAGACAACAUACUUUGUAGCUUCUACUCUAGCAAUUCCUUCCCAUUAGAUGUACACUUUUUGAAACACUCACCAGUAAAGCACAAAUCUGCUGCUAUCUUAUAUAA